AUGGGGCAGUUACUGAGUUGUGCAAAGGGCAACUGUUAACUUUAAUUAGGCUGUUUGCAGAACUAUAUGUAAAAUACGUCCCGUAAUUGACAUGACACAAUUAAACAGUAGCACACAGACUGGCAGAAAUCAUUAUAAACAGCUUGUGACAUAUGAUACCAUAAACUUAUGAGUAAAAUGAUACUAGAUAUCGAUCAAUUGAAAUUGAAACAAAACAUCAACAGCCUUGACCUCACCAGUUGUGAAGGCCUUCAAAGAUCUGGGCAAUAUCCAACCUUACUCAUCUGUCAAUAAGAAUAUUUUCUGACGUUGGAAUACGCCAGAAAUUUACCAUGAAAGAAUAGUUGAUUAUAUUCGUACCAGUAGUUGACUGAUACUUUAUUUUAUCGACUCCGAAAGGUAGAAAAACAAAGCUAACCUCGGCACGAUAUGAACUUAGAACUUAAACGGCAGUAACUAAAAACUGUAAGGCAUUUCGUCUGACGCGCUACCGAUUCUGCUAAUCCACAAUAAUGGUUUCUGAUUUAGACACAAGGCCAACAAUUAUGAAUGGAGGGGGUUAAUUGAUUCUACCGAUAGCAGUACUUGGCUGGUACUUUAUUUUAUUGACUCUGAAAGGAUGAAAGGCAAAGCCGACCUCUGUGAAAUCCGAAUUCGGAACGUAAAAAAACGGAAAAGAGCACGUUCCUUAAGCUCUAUCGACCAGACAAGUUAUUAGUUAUCCAAGGGUUAAAUUAUUUCCCAACGAUAACACGGUGUCAGAGGAAAAAAGAACAUUAUUGCGACUCGAAUGGAUUUGAACAUAAAAAUUUCCUUUAUCAGUACCAUUUCUUAUAGACAAUCUAAACUUAUUCAAUCAAUAUUUGAUUUCUACAGCAAGCAUAUCCAUAUACAUAAUUAUUACUUAUAUACUUAAUACUUGUAAAUACAUAGCAAAUAAAAUUUAAAAAUCCUUUUAACAAU